GUUUGGGACUCUUCGAUCUGGGUUACAUAUCGAUGAAUUCUGAUGUCCGAUUACCCAUCGGAUUUGGACUCAAUAUUUAUGAGAGAUUUAAUUAGUAAUUUGAUCACUAAUUAACUUAAUUUAAUUGAGUAAUUAUUUUUUGAUCAAGUCCAAUUGAAUUGGAUUCAGUUAGGUUUGACCCGAUUAGGUUAAGAGUUGACCUAAUCAUCGAGAUGGUUUGGUCCCUAAUUUGAUCGGG
rnacentral:lncRNA from 1 species